rnacentral:piRNA from 1 species
AAGAAAAUGUGCCAGUGACAAUGUCUAGCCA